GUGCAAUCCUUUGUUCCAAAGAAAAAUAGGAAGUUCCUUUUAUUCUUUUCCCAUAAGAAGCACAUAACUCCUAUUCAUUUCCUUCCUAGUUUUUCUUCUUUUGUCUAUACUUUCUCGCAUCUCAUGUCAAUGUGAUUUUUUCCUUUCCAUUUUGUUUUUCUUACUUGUGUUUAGGUAGUUAUUUUGUAUCAAAUUAGUUCUAUGAGUUCUCAUACAAGUUAUGUUAGAUAUAUUCCCU
rnacentral:lncRNA from 1 species